CCGGCACGGGUGAGUAACACGUAUCCAACCUGCCGUCUACUCUUGGCCAGCCUUCUGAAAGGAAGAUUAAUCCAGGAUGGCAUCAUGAGUUCACAUGUCCGCAUGAUUAAAGGUAUUUUCCGGUAGACGAUGGGAUGCGUUCCAUUAGAUAGUAGGCGGGGUAACGGCCCACCUAGUCAACGAUGGAUAGGGGUACUGAGAGGAAGGUCCCCCACAUUGGAACUGAGACACGGUCCAA
rnacentral:rRNA from 1 species